rnacentral:rRNA from 1 species
GAUGAACGCUAGCGACAGGCCUAACACAUGCAAGUCGAGGGGCAGCGCGGAAGUAGCUUGCUAUUUCUGGCGGCGACCGGCGCACGGGUGAGUAACGCGUAUCCAACCUUCCCCUUAGUAGAGGAUAGCCCGGCGAAAGUCGGAUUAAUACUCUAUGUUGUAUUUUGAGGACAUCUGACGAAUACCAAAGAUUUAUCGCUAAGGGAUGGGGAUGCGUCUGAUUAGCUUGUUGGCGGGGUAACGGCCCACCAAGGCAACGAUCAGUAGGGGUUCUGAGAGGAAGGUCCCCCACAUUGGUACUGAGACACGGACCAAACUCC